CCCUUAGAUGUUCUGGGCGGCCCGCGCACUACAUUGGCACUGGCAACAAGAUCCUAGAUCUGAUAUUUCGGGGUAUUCUACCAACUGGUGUCGUGACUGGGAUUAACCCCUGCAAUUAUUGGUUAUGAACGAGGAAUUCCUUGUAAUCACGGUUUAUCAACCCGUGUUGAAUGCGUCCCUGCCCUUUGUACACACCGCCCGUCGCUCCUACCGAUGAAUCGUCCGGUGAAGUUCAUGGAGUCGCGGCUGCUCCAGCUGUCUUCGAAGUGAAAUGGACCUCAUGAUUUAGAGGAAGGAGAANUCGUAACA
rnacentral:rRNA from 1 species